AAUCCGAAAUCGAGUUGGCCAUGGUGUAGAUUUGUUCCCUGCUUGGCUACUUCCAGCCAAGAAUGAAAUUACUAAACUAGGUCUAAAAACUCGUUUUGAUUUGGAUCUGGGAGAAUGUCUGAGCAAGGAGAACUAACCCCGACCAUACUGGAAGAAGGGCGGACAGAGCCAGAAUCUGCCCCAGAAAAUGGCAUCCUCAAGUCAGAAAGUCUGGAUGAGGAGGAGAAGCUGGAACUGCAGCGGCGACUGGCAGCUCAGAACCAAGAGAGAAGAAAAUCCAAGUCAGGAGCAGGUAAAGGGAAGCUGACCAGAAGUCUUGCUGUCUGUGAAGAGUCUUCAGCCAGACCUGGAGGGGAAAGUCACCAGGAUCAGACUCUCUGAGAACUGCAAACGGAAAGGAACUCAAAAGAACUUAGAUUAAAACUUAACUUACAAAUGAUAAAAUAAAAUAAAAUAAUAAAAUCCAGUAA
rnacentral:lncRNA from 1 species